AUUCCGCUGGUCGUAGGAACAGACACGACCACGGGCUCUCCUCUCUCCCUCUCCUCCGGAUCCCAGCCGCCAGGAGGCGCACGACCUGCGCGACGCUCGAUCCGGUGCCGCGCCGGCCGCCGACCGAUGGCCGACGCCGGUGAUCGGAGCACACUGCACCACCGGUCUGCCUCAGCUCCCCCCUUUCCUUUGCGCGCCCGAGCUCCUCGCUGUACGCCGCCCGGGAGGGCUCGCGCUCGCCGCUCGACCAAAGCCACCGCCGGCCGGUCCGGUGCCGCGCCGGCCGCCGGCAGAUGGCAGACGGAGGUGUUCGAAGCAUCCUGCACCACCGGUCUGCUUCAUCUCCUUCUUUCCUUCGCAUGCCCGAGCUCCUCCCUGUAAGCUGGCUGGGAGGGCUCGUGCUCGCCGCCACCGCCAGCCGGUCCUCCCUGCACUUGCCCGCGACCUCUCCGCCCCCUCUACACCGCCCUACACCUCAACUUCAGACGCACAUGUGUUUGUGGAUGUUCUCGGUUAUUUUUUGCACACAAGGUGUUUGUGUGUUUGUCUGAGCCAGUUUCAGUCACAGAUCCUUGAAGUAAACUCCCACAUACGAGAUUAGCUCUCCUUCCAUAUGAUUCAAAAAAUGGUAGGAUGGUGGGAGUUAAUUGGGAUACUAGAAUAAUGGGUUGCUAAUUAAUUUACAUCAUGUGGAGUCUCAAGACACAUGGGUACGCUGGCUCCUAUUGUUUGACAAAUUUAUAUUGAACUUUCUUUAAUCGUAUAAAGGAGUUGCAGUUAGGUGUUGCCCUUUUCUAUGCCUAGACACAGCAGCUCCAAUAACAUCUGGACGCUCAUGGUGAGAUAUAUUAAUUAUUCUUAUAAUGGUCAUCUGAAUUUGCAGAGACAAUUAGAUUUUGGAAGCAGGAAUCCUUUCCUCAUAAGAUGGAUGAGCUGUAGGAUUUGAUUCUGUUCAGCUUGAAUUAGUUUUUCAUCAUCAUGUUCUAUGUAUUAGGAAUUCAUGCCUUACAGCUCUAAUUUUUUCGCAUUGUUGGUGUAUGCUGGGAGUCACAUUGUAAUGCAUGCUAGCAAACAGUAGGAUUGAAAGUCUUACCCUGUUGGUUAUUAAUAUCUUUUCCACUAUAGUGAGGUUCAGCAAUUUAAUUCGUAUUAAGGUCACACAAACAGUUUGGUUUUCAGAUUUGUCUUGACAAACAUAUUUGGUUCAACAAUUUAAUUCGUAUUAAAGUCACACAAGCAGUUUGAUUUUUAGAUUUGUCUUGACAAACAUAUUUUUGCAGAUUAUCCUUACAUAAGCAAUUGAUUUCUGCAAGUUCCUUUCACUUCUUAUUUAUUUCUUCACUUGGUUAUGAUGUACUGCUAUUCGUUUUCAUGAUGAUUCAUGCAUUUUGUAGUUUUCACUCACAGAAUGUUCUCUCUAAACAAGAUUGGUUCCCAUUCUUACAGUGAAGUAGCUACUGAGCAGUGAGGCCAUCGAGCGACACCAGACCGCGGGACAGCGUGAGAAGAGGCAGGGGGUGUCUGGCGGGAUGGGGAAGACCACGAGGAAGUGUGGCGAUGGAGUGCAAUCCCGAAGAAGAAGAACAUUGCAAAGAAAGACCCUAGCCAAGCGCCACCCAAUUCUCUUUCAUUGACCUAUCUAAUGGCCAUCAAUUCAAUUGGUCCAAGCUGCUGCGUUUGACCUUCCCACUGACCCACUACAUCCUCGCUCAGCUGCUUCUGCUAUGUUUCUUCUCCAUGGCAUUGUCGGCUGCCAGUGUGCCUGACAUCAUGCCUAUGUGACCUCAUAUCAUGCUCCUCUACGUGUUCUUCUCACCCUGGUUCCAUGAGGAGAGAUGUUGUUCUGUGGUUCUGUAGCUCUACUCCAUAGCAAUGAUGGAGUCGCCUCCAGAUGGGAUAGCAAUUAUCUCGGGAUCAUGGUGAGGUUACUGAGUCGACCCUUCAUUUGGCUCUAUUCGUGUGGAUCUAUUCAUGUGCAUCUGUAAACUGUAUUUAGGUACAACUAUUGUUCUAGCACUUGUGUUUAUUAUUUUUGUAAAAAAAAGAUUUCUUGAUCUCAUUAAAUUGGGGUUUUAUGUUGACAUGAAAUUCUAACUGAAUUGCUAUUUAGCUGACAAUUCCAAUAAUUUUUUGUAUUGUAUUUGCAUGUACGGAGCUGCCUAAGCAACGGCCAGGGGGCAUAUGCUUCUCCUACCACUAACAUCUUCAUCCUAUUUGAGCCAGAAUAGCUUUGGUGCCCUCUCUCGCUCAUGGUGAGGCCGUGCACGCUUGCCAUGGUUGUGGCUACGAAAUCUCAGACUGAGUCGCUUCGGUCGGGCACUAUUCAGAUUAAUGUGGGAAUUUCUAGCACAUUCCUCUUUUACGGUGACGCUAGAUUCGAAUUUGAAGGCGUACUUGCCCCUGAGCUGGCGGUGCCUAAGAACAACGACGACAAAAUUCUGGCAUCGUCUCCAAGCUCUGUCGCAAGCAACACAGGAACGCCUCAGGCUCAAAGUCGGGUUGCUGUGCAGGCGAGCGGCAACAGCCACUUACGUCUCUUCCAAGAAGGGCGCCACCUUGGAGGAGCAUAACGACACCGGCUGCAGCGGCGCACGAGCCAACAAAGGGGCAGGACCAUUGGAGACGACGGACACAGAGGUGCAUGAUAGGCAUGCCGAUCAUCAGACACUAUGGAGCGAUCCCACCCGUGAUGCCGCAGUACACGCAGCCAUCGCCGCCACCGCCACAUGCCAUGAUCUACGGGUAAGUGCCUGCUCAGCAGCGUACAAGAGAAAUCACCGCGGGGCCCUACUCGCCAAGACGAUGCUUCUCUUAUCGUGCUUAUUUACUUGCCUUAUAUGUGUGACGAGAAGGAGCGGGAGAUUCAGAGGCUCAGGUUGGCAUCACUAGGUGAGUUCCCUGCUGAUUUGUCGAGCACGGGAUAUAGACUAUAGUCGGGUUCCUUCCUAACUCUGCUGGGCCUAAUGAAGAGAAAGAAUCAACUUUUGAGAUUAAUUGGCUAGAUCCAAGCAGGCAGCUGCACAACAUCGUCAAGGAGAAGAUGAUAACAAUGCGAUGUUCAAAGAAGCAGGCUCCAGUUUUGGUAAAUGAGUAGUGAUGUUGCAACCACCAAAACAAAUCUGAAAAAUAAGACAAAGACAAACAGGUUGAGAGGUUGGUUAAUGAUAUGGAAGAUCAAGUAAAAAAACGAAUUAUUGGAAGCCCCGGCAAGCAAAGUAAAGAAAACCCUACUUAACUUGAUCACAAAGGUUGGAUCGUGCAAGUACAUGUUGUAUAAGUUUACUAGGCUGGGACAGGUCGUACUGGUGGUUGCUGGCAGAAUUCUGAUGUGAUUCACAUGUUCUUCAGUUCAGAAGAUGAAACAAAAACUCUCCAAAGAGGGGAAACAAGCACAGAUAAAGCCUGAAGAGAUAUGCAAUUUGGACUUAUAGGAACUGUCACUUCAUUAUUAUAGUGGAGUUAAAGGAAAUAGGAGGCAUGAAAACAUGACGAGCGAGGAAAGAUCACUGCUAUGGAAGAAAAAAUGCAAGUCCAUGUGAUUUUGCAAUAGGAGAGGCUUAGACUUUCAGGGUUUUUACUUGAAAAAUCGCAUUUGGUACUUUUGAGUAUUUUUUAUACUGUUUUGCUCAAUCAAAAUUCACCACAUGUUUUUGUUUAUACCCGUUGCAACGCACGGGCAUUUUUACUAGUAAUAAUAAAGUAUGGAUUGACUUUGUCGGGUA